UUUGAUUGAAAUUGGAAUAUGCUAACAUGGAAAAGAAACAAAAAAUAUUAACAUGGCCCCUACACAAAGAUGAUUUGCAAAAUCAUGGAACACUGUAGUUUGGU
ensembl:snRNA U6 U6 spliceosomal RNA